GAUGAACGCUGGCGGCGUGCCUAAUACAUGCAAGUCGAGCGAACAGACGAGGAGCUUGCUCCUCUGACGUUAGCGGCGGACGGGCGAGUAACACGUGGAUAACCUACCUAUAAGACUGGGAUAACUUCGGGAAACCGGAGCUAAUACCGGAGAAUAUAUUGAACCGCAUGGUUCAAUAGUGAAAGACGGUUUUGCUGUCACUUAGAGAUGGAUCCGCGCCGCAUUAGCUAGUUGGUAAGGUAACGGCUUACCAAGGCAACGAUGCGUAGCCGACCUGAGAGGGUGAUCGGCCACACUGGAACUGAGACACGGUCCAGACUCCUACGGGAGGCAGCAGUAGGGAAUCUUCCGCAAUGGGCGAAAGCCUGACGGAGCAACGCCGCGUGAGUGAUGAAGGUCUUCGGAUCGUAAAGCUCUGUUAUUAGGGAAGAACAAAUGUGUAAGUAACUAUGCACGUCUUGACGGUACCUAAUCAGAAAGCCCCGGCUAACUACGUG
rnacentral:rRNA from 1 species